rnacentral:piRNA from 1 species
AGGUAAUCGAUCGGUGAGAGGCUCUGGGCU